GGAGCAGCCUGGCGGCUGUGCGCAGGGCCUGGCUGGAGCCGGGCUGCUUUAGGGCGGAGGUGCCUCAGCGAGCUCUCCGCAGGAGGGGCCGGAGCAGGAUCUUCUGACAAGCUUGAAACUAAGGUGAGGCGACUAGAGCAGACUGGUCACCAAGUCGGCUUCUCUGCGAUACAGGGCAGGGAUCCGCUCGUAGAUGUCUUUGAAGCUUGAAGGGAAGAUGCUGCAUGAGAUGAAAAGCCUUGUCCUCGAGGAGCCAAAGUGUUGGCUGGAUGUUAUCUCUGUUUGGAGAAAGCUUCAUGGGCGUGAGGGGCAAAAAGACAAUGUCUCUCAAGAAAACCCAUCGCUUCUCAAGAGCAAAUCAGAAGAAGAGACAAAUAUUGCAAGCGACAGGCAGAAACCCAAACAAGUGAGAGAGACCGUGUCUGAGCAACGUCAGGCGGAAGCUGGAGAGAGGGUGACAGCGGUGGUCCUCUCACCUGCAAAGAUAACAACGCUGACUACUUCUGGCUUGUUGGAGUGAGCAGCUGGAGGAAAGGCUGUGCGAGAGCAAGACGGCCCAGAGUCUACACCUCCGCUCAGCACUUUUACGACUGGAUCCUGCUACAGAUGGGACUGCGCCCAGCAGGAAGGGGCACUCCAACAUCACGGCCAAGCCCAAUACCAACGCAGUCGGGCAGGUUUAGCUCCUGCCCAUUUCCACUCCAGAGGCUGGUGGAGUUCUUCACUUGGGUGCAGGAGCUCCUGCAGGUCCUGAGAGGAAGAAAGGCUUGAGCAGCAUGCUGAGAAGGAUCCAGUGCAGGCUGCAGCAUAGCAGCACUGGAUCCUUCUCCGGCAAUGGCUGCUCAUCCAAAGGCAGCGCGUGCUUUGCCUGGCGAGUCACCCUCCCACCGCUGGGUCCCCACCGCUGCUGGGGCUCACCUCCCCUUCCCCACCUGCAGCUCCUUGCCCAGUGCCCCCCUUGCCCCAGAGGCCUGCGACUCUGCCCACAAAGCCCAUCCAGUGCUCAUGGCAGCCCACAGGUCCACAGCCCAAGCCUGGAGCAUGUGCGUUCCACACGUGCAGGGUCACUGUGCAGAGAUGAGAGCGAGCCCUACCUUACAGGCCCACGACCCCCUCCCACACAAGCUCCUGUAGGCCCCGGCACCUGAGCGGGGCCUUUCUGUGCCGCAGAGUACAGCUCUGGCAGGUGCUGUGAGAGAGAAGGAGCCAGCCAUAGUGCUGACAGAGGCCACCCAACAACACCUUUGUCCUCUCUCCUCUGCUGCAGGGGGACAGUGGUCCUCUCGUCUGCGAAGAUAACAAGGCAGACUACCUCUGGCUGGUUGGAGUCACCAGCUGGGGGAAAGGCUGUUCCAGGGGAAGCCCCCGCACCUGGAUCAUCAGCAUCCAGGAUCCCUGGAAAACAGGCACAGGGCAUAUAUGCGGGGGGUCCCUCCUCAGCCCACAGUGGGUCCUCGCGGCGGCCCACUGCUUCAUUGAGGCCAGAUGAGGACCAGGGAAUGGGGAUAUCCCCACAGCACUAGCAGGUGCCCCGUUCAAGGCACCAUGUGCUACUCCCAUCCCGUUCCCUUGCAGCACGGCCCGUGCCUGGCACUCCAGGGCCGAGCUGACACACUGCUCAGGAGGAGGCUGGGCCUGUGCCACUGCUUCCUAGCAGCCUCCAAGUGCAUGCAAGUGCUAAAAAUGACAGUUCUUCCAAUAAAAUUGCCAAUUUUCAUAGCUAA